GCCAGUGUGGCACAGUGGUUCGAGUGUUGGAUUAUGACUCUGGAGAUCAGGGUUCAACUCCCAGCAUGGCA